rnacentral:rRNA from 1 species
AUUGAACGCUGGCGGCAUGCUUUACACAUGCAAGUCGAACGGUAACAGGCCUUCUGGUGCUGCUGAGUGGCGAACGGGCGAGUAAUGCAUCGGAACGUGCCCAGAGGUGGGGGAUAACGCAGCGAAAGCUGUGCUAAUAUCGCAUGUGAUCUGAGGAUGAAAGCGGGGGACCAGGCAGCAAUGUUUGGCCUCGCGCCUUUGGAGCGGCCGAUGUCCGACUAGGUAGUUGGUGGGGUAAAGGCCUACGAAGCCGACGAUCUGUAGCUGGUCUGAGAGGACGACCAGCCACACUGGGACUGAGACACGGCCCAGACUCCUGCGGGAGGCAGCAGUGGGGAAUUUUGGACAGUGGGCGCAAGCCUGAUCCAGCAAUGCCGCGUGCGGGAAGAAGGCCUUCGGGUUGUAAACCGCUUUUGUACGGAACGAAAAGGCUCUGGCUAAUACCUGGGGCUGAUGACGGUACCGGAAGAAUAAGCACCGGCUAACUACGUG